GCCCCACACCAGGGAGUGCCUGGGAGCUCCUGGAGCUGGAGGAGCAGGAAACCUGGGAGAGCCUGAUCCAAAGCCCUGACCUCGCCUGGUCACUCCCAGUCUCCCCGAACCCACAGCACAAGGGAGACCCAGGCCUGGGCCUGUGGGGGAUCACAGAAGGCCAAGCAGACCCAGCACUGACCGAGGCUUGGGGAGGGAGGAUUUGUGUGUCAUUCAAGCCUCAGGCAGGGCUGUCUCUCCAGGCAAAGCAGCGCUCCCAAGGCGAGCAGCCCAGACUGGGGGUGGUGGAUGGGAGGUUGGGGG
rnacentral:lncRNA from 1 species